rnacentral:rRNA from 1 species
UACGAAGGGGGCUAGCGUUGUUCGGAAUUACUGGGCGUAAAGCGCGCGCAGGCGGUCUUCCAAGUCAGUGGUGAAAGCCCGGAGCUCAACUCCGGAACUGCCAUUGAAACUGUGAGACUUGAGGAUGAGAGAGGUGAGUGGAAUUCCCAGUGUAGAGGUGAAAUUCGUAGAUAUUCGGAAGAACACCAGUGGCGAAGGCGGCUCACUGGACCGGUAUUGACGCUGAGGUGCGAAAGCGUGGGGAGCAAACAGG